rnacentral:misc_RNA from 1 species
GAAAUGCGAUAACUAGUGUGAAUUGCAGAAUUCCGUGAAUCAUCGAGUCUUUGAACGCACAUUGCGCCCCCUGGUAUUCCGGGGGCAUGCCUGUCCGAGCGUCAUUGCUGCCCAUCAAGCACGGCUUGUGUGUUGGGUCGUCGUCCCCUCUCCGGGGGAGACGGGCCCCAAAGGCAGCGGCGGCACCGCGUCCGAUCCUCGAGCGUAUGGGGCUUUGUCACCCGCUCUGUAGGCCCGGCCGGCGCUUGCCGAACGCAAAUCAAUCUUUUUCCAGGUUGACCUCGGAUCAGGUAGGGAUACCCGCUGAACUUAAGC